rnacentral:rRNA from 1 species
AUGUCGGAAGAAAGUUUACGAUACGAAGAGAUUGAGGUCAAUUGUCGUAUUCCGUUAGUUGAUUAUGAUAACCAGUCACAAUUUAAUGUAGCUUGUACGUCAGAAGAAAGGUUACAAUACGAAGAGAUUGAGGUCAAUUGUCGUAUUCCGUUAGUUGAUUAUGAUAACCAAUCACAAUUUAAUGUAGCUUGUAUGUCAGAAGAAAUGUUACGAUACGAAGAGAUUGAGGUCAAUUGUCGUAUUCCGUUAGUUGAUUAUGAUAACCAGUCACAAUUAAAUGUGGCUUGUAUGUCGGAAGAAAGGUUACGAUACGAAGAGAUUGAGGUCAAACCGAAGUGGCGCCAUACUAAUUAA